GAGUUUGAUCGUGGCUCAGAUUGAACGCUGGCGGCAUGCCUUACACAUGCAAGUCGAACGGCAGCACGGGAGCUUGCUCCUGGUGGCGAGUGGCGAACGGGUGAGUAAUGCAUCGGAACGUAUCCUGGAGUGGGGGAUAACGUAGUGAAAGUUACGCUAAUACCGCAUAUUCUGUGAGCAGGAAAGCGGGGGACCUUCGGGCCUCGCGCUCUUGGAGCGGCCGAUGUCGGAUUAGCUAGUUGGUGAGGUAAAGGCUCACCAAGGCGACGAUCCGUAGCAGGUCUGAGAGGAUGAUCUGCCACACUGGAACUGAGACACGGUCCAGACUCCUACGGGAGGCAGCAGUGGGGAAUUUUGGACAAUGGGGGCAACCCUGAUCCAGCCAUGCCGCGUGAGUGAAGAAGGCCU
rnacentral:rRNA from 1 species